rnacentral:SRP_RNA from 1 species
GAGCCUCCUGAAGGCUUCGUGCCUUCGCACCUGAUUGUGGGCGGGGACUCGGGCGUGCACGGCUGGCACAGAGCAGCGAGCAUCGUGAACCUGUGGGCGCACUACUUGACGAGCUGCCU